rnacentral:lncRNA from 1 species
CCAAUAUAAGGGCGAAGUACCAGCACCCAUCGCACAUCAUGUGUGCAUACCCCCCCCGGCCACCCCGAUCGCCGGAACCCCAAUUCCGUCGGUCAGGUUCUCCGACGAUGGUACCCCGGUGAAGAAAAAUGCGGCACCAGCACAAGCCCGAGCCCAGCAUGUGCUGUCGCAAACCUCGGUCUGGUCCAAUCUUAGACUGGGAAUGAACUCCGUAUGCUUAGACUGG